GAUGAAGAACGUAGCGAAAUGCGAUACUUGGUGUGAAUUGCAGAAUCCCGUGAACCAUCGAGUCUUUGAACGCAAGUUGCGCCCGAAGCCACUAGGCCGAGGGCACGCCUGCCUGGGCGUCACACGCCGUUUCCCCCCCCAUCUACUCCUUCGGGAUUGCGGGGGGGCGGAUGAUGGCCUCCCGUGCGCCUAGCCGCGCGGUUGGCAUAAAUACCAAGUCCUCGGCGACGCACGCCACGACAAUCGGUGGUUGCGAAACCUCGGUUGCCCGUCGUGUGCGUUCGUCGCGCAUCGAGGGCUCGAAAAAAUGCUCGGCUCCGGCUGGGCUUUCAACGCGACCCCAGGUCAGGCGGGGUUACCCGCUGAAUUUAAGCAUAUCAAUAAGCGGAGGA
rnacentral:misc_RNA from 1 species